AUUUAGAAUAAUUUAUUUUUCUUUUCUUAUUUCUUACUGUUAAGAAUUUUCAUACCUAGGAUUGUUUCAAAUUACAAUUUAAAACAUGUGUAAUUUAACUUAAUGAUUAACAUUCAAAAAUAUAUCACUCAAAAAACUUUUUAAUUUAUUUGUAAGAUAACAACAAGAUUAUAAAAAAGAGAGCAUAAUAUUAGAUGGAGUUUUAACAAUAAAAAUUAAGUUAAAAAAUAAAAGAGUGAAUUUUAAAAAAAGAACGCUUUUGGAAUUAAAAAAAAUUAACUAAAAAAAGAGUUUUAUGGGGAGAUAUUGUUACACCGGCCGAAUGUAAUAAGCCGACGAUGGAGCUUCAGCCAUGUUUCUGAAAGGCCAAAGAGCAGUGAAAUUAGACGUUUAAGAAAAUGCUAUUUUCACGCAAUGCAAAAUAAGAUAUUCGAAUUAACGGACGAAGUAAUCGUUUCUCGUUCGUCCACAUAUGCCAGCAUCUCCAAAUGGAUUCCUAAGCCAGGGUCACCUUGCAUGAGUCAUGACAGCCAAUAACUCCGGGUGAAAUGCAUCAGCCAUCAAGCUUGACGGAUUAAAAAAUUCAUAUUCCUGUCGUAGCAUUUUAUGGAAGUUAUUGUUGAACCCUGAGGAACAGAAAGUAGAAUGGGAAGCCUAAAAUGGCACGCAGGGGCCACGGGUUUUGCUGGGCGGGCCCAUGGGCCUAUAUUUCUGUUAAAUCACCAAGUGAAACUAUUGGCACCUCCUUCCAUUGUGUUUGAGACCCCAAUGUCGGCGUGGUUCUCACAGACGGUCUUAAAAAAUGAAAAAUUGUUUUUCUAAAUCAUUCUCUAAUCCAAAUCCAAGUAAAAUGAGUAAAUUUUUCAAGGAGAAAAAUAAAUUGAGCAAUGGUUAUUCAUGAUGCUCAAAGAUUCAUGCUCAAUCAAAAAGACGAAAAGUUAAAAAAAAAAAAUCUCAUCCCAUGAACUGAGUGCGGAAUUUUUGGGUUGCUUGCUCUUAUUGUUUAAUUUCUUUAAAUAUAUUUGCUUAUUGAUGGCAUAAAAUAAAUUUGAUUAGCUAGAAGCUCGUCCUGUAAAUUCAACGCUGGAAUGUAAUCAUCGAAUAAUAAAGUGUCCGAAGUGUAAAGUGUUGGGAUUAU
rnacentral:lncRNA from 1 species